rnacentral:tRNA from 1 species
GAGAUGUUAGUAAACUCAUUACAUGGCCCUGUCAAAGCCAAACC